rnacentral:rRNA from 1 species
GGGGAAUAUUGCACAAUGGGCGAAAGCCUGAUGCAGCAACGCCGCGUGAGUGAUGAAGGCCUUCGGGUCGUAAAACUCUGUCCUCAAGGAAGAUAAUGACGGUACUUGAGGAGGAAGCCCCGGCUAACUACGUGCCAGCAGCCGCGGUAAUACGUAGGGGGCUAGCGUUAUCCGGAUUUACUGGGCGUAAAGGGUGCGUAGGCGGUCUUUCAAGUCAGGAGUGAAAGGCUACGGCUCAACCGUAGUAAGCUCUUGAAACUGGGAGACUUGAGUGCAGGAGAGGAGAGUGGAAUUCCUAGUGUAGCGGUGAAAUGCGUAGAUAUUAGGAGGAACACCAGUGGCGAAGGCGGCUCUCUGGACUGUAACUGACGCUGAGGCACGAAAGCGUGGGGAGCAAACAGGAUUAGAUACCCUGGUAGUCCACGCUGUAAACGCUGAGUACUAGGGGUCGGGGGUUACCCCC